rnacentral:tRNA from 1 species
UCCCUGGUGGCUCAGAGGUUAAAGCGUCUGCCUCCAGUGCGGGAGACCCAGGUUCAGUCCCUGGGUUGGGAA